GGGCCUAUGGUUCAGUGGUAGAACAUAGCAUUCGCAUUGCUAAGACGCCAGUUCGAUUCUGGCUAGGUCCA
rnacentral:tRNA from 5 species